rnacentral:rRNA from 1 species
UACGAAGGGGGCUAGCGUUGUUCGGAAUCACUGGGCGUAAAGGGCGCGUAGGCGGCCGCUCAAGUCGGGGGUGAAAGCCUGUGGCUUAACCACAGAAUUGCCUUCGAUACUGUUUGGCUUGAGACCGGAAGAGGUGAGUGGAACUGCGAGUGUAGAGGUGAAAUUCGUAGAUAUUCGCAAGAACACCAGUGGCGAAGGCGGCUCACUGGUCCGGUUCUGACGCUGAGGCGCGACAGCGUGGGGAGCAGACAGG